GAGUCCCGCCGGCCUAGCCUGACCUGUCGCUGCCUCCCUGGGCGGGUGUCCCGGGGGCUGAGGACGGGGACGGGGAUGGCGCGGCCGGGCCGGGGCGCCUGCGCAGACGGCCGGGGCCGGCGACAAGCUGGGGAGCGCGGGGAGAAUGCUUAAAUCAUCUCAGAAGGACAAGAUCCACCAGCUCAUGGCAUUCACUCAGGCUGGUGAGAGAACUGCCAUCCACUACUUAGCCCAAAGGGAGUGGAAACUGGACGCGCCACGGACAGCUUCCUCCAGAACCCGGCCUCGUUCCACAAGGACUCCACGAGAACCUCCGCCGUCAGGAAGAAGCUGGAGCCGCUGUAUAACAGGGUUGGGAUAAAAGCGUCAUUCAUACCUUAACAUGUUUCUUACUUGCUGGAUGAGUCGGAGAGGUAAAGGAAAGCACAUAAACACCUUCUAAUCACUAAGCUUAUUGAACUGUUUCAGGAGACUUAGAAGUGGCCGUCGCAUAUUGGAAUUUGGUAUUAUCCGGAAGCCUUAAGUUUUUAGAUCUUUGGAACAUCUUUUUGUUGGAGCAUCGCAAAAGAUCAAUCCCAAGGAACACUUGGAACCUUCUGCUGGAUUUUGGAAAUAUGAUUGCAGAUGACAUGUCCAGCUAUGAUGAAGAAGGUACGAGAAGCAGUCGGACUUCAGGCGAUGCCAAAGGCACUGACGCGGGCGCACACGUCUCUGCCCCCGGACCACGGGUCAGUGACGGCCGCGCAGGCCCCGGGGCGGACGGCACCUGCUGACUCCUGGCCCGACCCCGUCCGGAGACGGGGUUGGUGAGCAUAGUGACCGGUAGUCAGUUUAUUAUGUCUUGUAAAUCGCACAAAAGAAAAUACAGCUUCAUAUUUAGUUCAAGUCAGGAAGACAGUUGUCUGAGCUAAAGCAUUUCAGAGUGGAUGUGCAGAGGCCCUGAGGCAGACCUCAAGCAGGACAGUCACUGGGGCCCACUGCCCCGCGUGUGGCUGCAGCGGCUAUUCCAUCGCACCGCCGAAGCUCACGGAAGAGUGCAGCCUCCAUUUACUCACCUGAGCACGAUCACGCCUGCUGAGGCCCCCACCCCAAACAUUUCAGGACUCGGGGAGCGUUUGCCUGCCUUCUGAGCUGUGGGCGCUGCCCCGUUAGGGAAGGAUGCCCACCCCCCCCGGCCCCGCCCACCGUCAGCUCCCUCUACCCGGCCAGGAAGUGACCGUGCACGUUCCCGGCGGGGUCAAGGGUGGGCGGUCCUCACAGGGCCGGGUCCACACAAGCACACCAGCACUUGCCAACUCUGGUCUGGCUAGAGCAGAAGAGGGUCACUUUAGCCGAUUCUUUAAGUGGAGCACAGGCUAUAGAAAGUUAAAAUCAUUUGAGUUCUUGAAAUAUAAACGUUGGAUUGUGAAAAAAUGCUUUGAAUAUAAAAAUAUUGCUCUAAGUCAUUGAUUUUUUUUAAAAAUCUAUUAGCUUUCCUUCAGGAGCAUGGCCUGUUCUUAUAGAUGAUUUCGUAGAAUAUGCACGGCCAGUGGUCACAAGUGGUAAAGGCAGCCCUCUCUAGGCAGAAAGUCGAGAAGGAUUAAGAUGAACAGGGAACUGUCCUGCAGGAGACGCUGGUCAGCUAUGCCUGUCACCCAUUUUGGAAGUCAUCCUGACCAGUCGUGAGACUGGAGACCCUCUCCUGCUGCUUAGAGAAGACACCGCUGACUGUGGACGCCGCACGGAGACCCUCUGAGCUCGCUGCUGGGGCGCCCAGAGACGGGGCCCUAGCUGUUGCUGUAAGAGACCUCUGCAUGAUUUCCGCAUUUACGGAGGAGCUAGGGCCUGUCUGCAGGCUGCAGGGUCGCUGUUGAUCAUGACCCAAAGCGAGGCUGUGCUCACCGCACUCGCUGAAUUGUCCGUAACCACCCCUGAGAAACAGUACAAGUCAGGCUGCUGGAAACGUGCCCUAAAGAAGAUGAUCGUCGUGGAUGCUGACGGUUUUAAACUUGGUGCCAGGGUUAAGAUUUAUAUUUUUUGAAUCAUCAAGUGUCUAGAUUUAUCAGCUCUAUUUUCAUUUCACUUUUCUCUGGAUGUUCAUCUGGGAAUCAUUUUACAGGUUAACGCGCUGUUGCAGUUUGCACAGCGAUGGUGUCAUCGUGAUUCCAGAAAAG